CAGCCGCCGCGGGAAUACGAAGGGUGCAAGCGUUACUCGGAAUUACUGGGCGUAAAGCGUGCGUAGGUGGUGGUUUAAGUCCGUUGUGAAAGCCCUGGGCUCAACCUGGGAAUUGCAGUGGAUACUGGAUCACUAGAGUGUGGUAGAGGAUAGUGGAAUUUCCGGUGUAGCAGUGAAAUGCGUAGAGAUCGGAAGGAACAUCUGUGGCGAAGGCGACUAUCUGGGCCAACACUGACACUGAGGCACGAAAGCGUGGGGAGCAAACAGGAUUAGAUACCCCCGUAGUCCCUGUCUCUUAUAA
rnacentral:rRNA from 1 species